rnacentral:rRNA from 1 species
UACGGAGGGUGCGAGCGUUAAUCGGAAUUACUGGGCGUAAAGGGUGCGUAGGUGGUUAGUUAAGUUAUCUGUGAAAUACCUGGGCUCAACCUGGGCAGGUCAGAUGAGACUGAUUGACUCGAGUAUGGGAGAGGGUAGUGGAAUUUCCGGUGUAGCGGUGAAAUGCGUAGAUAUCGGAAGGAAGACCAGUGGCGAAGGCGGAUCUCUGGACAGUUCCUGACGCUGAGGCGCGAAGGCCAGGGGAGCAAACGGG